rnacentral:rRNA from 1 species
UUAGAGUUUGAUCCUGGCUCAGAUUGAACGCUGGCGGCAGGCCUAACACAUGCAAGUCGAGCGGUAACAGAAAGUAGCUUGCUACUUUGCUGACGAGCGGCGGACGGGUGAGUAAUGCUUGGGAACAUGCCUUGAGGUGGGGGACAACAGUUGGAAACGACUGCUAAUACCGCAUAAUGUCUACGGACCAAAGGGGGCUUCGGCUCUCGCCUUUAGAUUGGCCCAAGUGGGAUUAGCUAGUUGGUGAGGUAAUGGCUCACCAAGGCGACGAUCCCUAGCUGGUUUGAGAGGAUGAUCAGCCACACUGGGACUGAGACACGGCCCAGACUCCUACGGGAGGCAGCAGUGGGGAAUAUUGCACAAUGGGCGCAAGCCUGAUGCAGCCAUGCCGCGUGUGUGAAGAAGGCCUUCGGGUUGUAAAGCACCUUCAGUCAGGAGGAAAGGUUAGUAGUUAAUACCUGCUAGCUGUGACGUUACUGACAGAAGAAGCACCGGCUAACUCCGUGCCAGCAGCCGCGGUAAUCUCCAGGCACACGCUAGGGCAUUUCCC